GUCUACGGCCACACCUAGGCGAAAACACCAGUUCCCGUCCGAUCACUGCAGUUAAGCGUCUGAGGGCCUCGUUAGUACUAUGGUUGGAGACAACAUGGGAAUCCGGGGUGCUGUAGGCU
rfam:Schizosaccharomyces cryophilus OY26 unplaced genomic scaffold supercont4.1, whole genome shotgun sequence.